rnacentral:rRNA from 1 species
GUGUCAGCAGCCGCGGUAAUACGAAGGGGGCAAGCGUUGUUCGGAAUGACUGGGCGUAAAGGGCGCGUAGGCGGUUCGUUGCGUCAGAUGUGAAAGCCCCGGGCUCAACCUGGGAACUGCAUUUGAUACGGGCGAGCUUGAAUCCAAGAGAGGGUGGUGGAAUUCCCAGUGUAGAGGUGAAAUUCGUAGAUAUUGGGAAGAACACCAGUGGCGAAGGCGGCCACCUGGCUUGGUAUUGACGCUGAGGCGCGAAAGCGUGGGGAGCAAACAGGAUUAGAUACCCUUGUAGUCC